UACGAAGGGUGCAAGCGUUAAUCGGAAUUACUGGGCGUAAAGCGUGCGCAGGCGGUUUUGUAAGUCUGUUGUGAAAUCCCCGGGCUUAACCUGGGAAUGGCAAUGGAGACUGCAAGGCUAGAGUUUGGCAGAGGGGGGUAGAAUUCCACGUGUAGCAGUGAAAUGCGUAGAGAUGUGGAGGAACACCGAUGGCGAAGGCAGCCCCCUGGGUCAAGACUGACGCUCAUGCACGAAAGCGUGGGGAGCAAACAGG
rnacentral:rRNA from 1 species